rnacentral:rRNA from 1 species
GACAGAGGGUGCAAACGUUGUUCGGAAUUACUGGGCGUAAAGCGUGUGUAGGCGGUCCGCUAAGUCGGAUGUGAAAGCCCGGGGCUUAACUCCGGGUCUGCAUUCGAUACGGGCAGGCUAGAGUUCGGUAGGGGAGAUCGGAAUUCCUGGUGUAGCGGUGAAAUGCGCAGAUAUCAGGAGGAACACCCGUGGCGAAAGCGGCUCUCUGGGACGGUACUGACGCUGAGACGCGAAAGCGUGGGGAGCAAACAGG